AUACUUACCUGGCAGGAGAGAUACCAUGAUCACCAAAUGGUUUCCCAGGGUGAGGCUCACCCAUGGCACUUCCCGAUGUGCUGACCCCUGCGAUUUCUCCAAAUGUGGUCAAAUCGACUGCAUAAUUUGUUGUAGUGGGGGACUGUGUUCCCACUCUCCCCUG